rnacentral:rRNA from 1 species
CGUGUAGGCGGUUGGGUAAGUCAGAUGUGAAAGCCUUCCGCUCAACGGAAGAAGGGCAUUUGAAACUACCCAGCUAGAGUACGGGAGAGGAAAGUGGAAUUCCCGGUGUAGAGGUGAAAUUCGUAGAUAUCGGGAGGAACACCUGUGGCGAAGGCGGCUUUCUGGUCCGAUACUGACGCUGAGACGCGAAAGCGUGGGUAGCAAACAGGAUUAGAUACCCUGGUAGUCCACGCCGUAAACGAUGGGCACUAGGUGUAGGAGGUAUUGACCCCUUCUGUGCCGAAGUUAACGCAUUAAGUGCCCCGCUGGGGAGUACGGCCGCAAGGCUAAAA